CAGGGACAAGGGGCAGAGUUAACCUGAAAUUUCCCACCCAAACCCCCUGUCCCUCAGCCAUGGGGGAGCUCAAGAAAUUUCAGCAAUCCUGUUGCUGGUGGUGAGCUAGUGGUCUCCGUCUGAAACACCAGUAUGAACUGCAGCCAACAAGCAUCUGUCCAGUGAAGGACUGCUCCAAAACCUAGUAUGGUUGGUAUAAAAAGUCACCUGUGGGCUCCUGUUUGUGGAUGAGACCCUGCAUCAACAGAAAAUGAAGAUCUGUACAUCCACCCCACUGGUUUUCCAGCAUUUGAGGCGGUGACUACUUGCUUACUUUAUAUGCUUCAGCUAUUUGAACUCCCCCUCCUGUCCUCCAAGCUACUGACUCAUUUCCUCCUCUAAAACCUUCCUUUUUUAGUCUUUCGCUCUGAAGUAUUUGGUUGCUGUUUUGAGCUGCCUGCUCCAUGCCUUUCUUAGGCAAACUCCUACAUGACAGCCCUGCAAGUCUUGCUUUUGUACUGUGGAAAUGAGGAUUUCUCCCCCCAAUACUGUCAGUUCUGAGGGGCAGUUUUAGCUCUUGACCAUGCUCUUAGGCAAAUUGCUUCUUUGCUAUUGGAAAUCAGGGAGGCAGACAACCGGCAAAGCAGCUGGUAAGCUGAGAGAGCUGGUGCUUAUGCUAAUUGCUGUUGUCUCCCUGUUAGUCCCCGCUUCCCCCAUCUGUCUGCAUCCACCUGCUGUCUUUUCAUACCCUUUCACUCUCAUCUUGCAGUUGGAGCAGGGAUCACAGAGUAUCCUCUUUUGCUGGAUAACCACCCUGCAACCACAGAGCAGCUGGAUGGCAGGAUCAGGCCCUGAUUUUAUGUGCUGCCACAUGAAGCGAAGGAACAGGCAGUGUCCCCUUGUGAGAGGGAUAUGGUGCUGGCCCUGAGCUUUGGUCAUGGUGGAUGGAUGCUACCGUAAUCACACCAGAUGAAUGUGUCUGAAAGGUUGCAGUCCUUUUCAUUUCCAUACGGUACAAACUCUGCAGGCAAUGAACAACUGGACCAAAAUCUGACCCUGCUUGCUGCUGUAAAACCUGGCUAAUUUUAUAAGUCUCAUCCGAACCACUCUGGAUGGAGCUGAUGGAGAAGGCAGCCCUAUGCUUCGUUACCCCUGGGGCGUUUUCACCAUCAGAAGGAGGAAAUAAAACAAGAAGGCAGCUCAGGAAUGGAACAGCCCUGUUUUAAUUUAAAUAUGGAAGAAUGUCAUUGAGCUACUCUCUGCCUGGCUUGUAUAAUUUGUUUUCUCCUUAAUUUUUGUUACCACUAAGGUGCCUGUCCGAAGUACUCAAUAUCAUAAGAAUGAAACCUAUCCUGCCCCAGAAUCAGCUCAAGGAUCAACCACUGCUCAGCUCUUGUUAAAUCCUCAAAAUAGACA